GCUCAGGAUGAACGCUAGCGGUGUGUUAACACAUGCAAGUCGAGCGCAUCUUCGGAUGAGCGGCAGACGAGAGAGUAACACGUUGGUACCUACCCCAUACUCAGGGAUAACCCUCCGAAAGGAGGGCUAAUACCGGAUGGUCCCGCAAGGGUAAAGCUUUUGCGGUAUGGGAGGGGCCUGCGGCCUAUCAGCUAGUUGGUAAGGUAAAGGCUUACCAAGGCGAUGACGGGUAGUUGAUGUGAGAGCAUGAUCAGCCUCGAUGGGACUGCGACACGGCCCAUACUCCUACGGGAGGCAGCAGUGAAGAAUCUUCCGCAAUGGACGAAAGUCUGACGGAGCAACACCGCGUGAAGGACGAAGGCCCUCGGGUCGUAAACUUCUUUUCUGAGGGAAUAAGUUCUGAAGGUACCUCAGGAAUAACGCGCUGCUAACUACGUUGCCAGCAGCAGCGGUAAUACGUACGCGCCCAAGCGUUAUCCGGAAUUACUGGGCGUAAAGCGUCCGUAGACGGCUAAAUUAGUCGGGUGUUAAAUUUUCGUGCCUAACGCGAAAAACGUACUCGAAACUGUUAAGCUACGAGUCUGAAAGAGGUCACUGGAAUUCCUACUGGAGGGGUAAAAUCCGUAGAUAGUAGGAGGAACACCAAAAGCGAAGGCAGGUGGCUGGUUCAGUACUGACGCUCAGGGACGAAAGCGUGGGGAGCAAACAGGAUUAGAUACCCUGGUAGUCCACGCCGUAAACGAUGAGUGCUAGGCGUUGAAGAGUUGUUUCGACCCUCUUCAGUGUCCAAAGUUAACACGUUAAGCACUCCGCCUGGGGAGUACGGCCGCAAGGCUAAAACUCAAAGGAAUAGACGGGGGCCCGCACAAGCGGUGGAGCAUGGGGUUUAAUUCGAUAAUAAGCGAGGAACCUCACCUAGGCUUGACAUCUCGAGAAAGCUCUGGAAACAGAGCCGUGCCUUUUGGAACUCGAUGACAGGCGCUGCAUGGUUGUCGUCAGCUCGUGCCCUGAGGUGUUCGGUUAAGUCCGUAAACGAGCGCAACCCUCGUCGUGUGUUGUAUUUUUCACGCGAGACUGCCGGCCCUAAGCCGGAGGAAGGCGAGGAUGACGUCAAAUCAGCAUGGCCCUUAUGCCUAGGGCGACACCCGUGCUACAAUAGGGAGUACAAAGGGUAGCGAAAGCGCAAGCUGGAGCCAAUCCUAAAAACUUCCCCCAGUUCGGAUUGAGGGCUGCAAUUCGCCCUCAUGAAGUUGGAAUCGCUAGUAACCGUGGAUCAGCCAUGUCACGGUGAAUAUGUUCCCGGGCCUUGUACUCACCGCCCGUCACGUCAUGGAAGAUGGGAGCA
rnacentral:rRNA from 1 species